rnacentral:misc_RNA from 1 species
GGCAGGAUCUGGCUGGCCAGGUUCAGGCGCUGACUCAUGAUCUGGCGAGGAACUCUACUGAAAUGCAGCAAGCGCCUAUUCUUAAGCAACAAAUUGAAGUAAUGAAGCAGCAAAUACAACAUGCGAGGGCUUGUAUUGAGCAUGAGAAGAAAGGAUAUGCUGAUAACUAUGAGCAAGGGCAGGUGAUGCAGAAGAAUUUAGUCUCAAUGGCUCGUGAAGUUGAGAAACUUCGUGCUGAGAUUGCUAAUGCAGAGAAGAGGGCAAGAG